UACCAACCCUCCGAGUGGUAGGGAAGAUUAUUUGGCUUAAAGCGUCCGUAGCUGGCUGGGUAAGUUUCCCGUUAAAUCCAGCGUCUCAAGCGUUGGACUGCGGGAAAUACUGCCUGGCUAGAGAGUGGGAGAGGUGUACGGUAUUCUGGGGGUAGGGGCGAAAUCCUUUGAUCCCCGGAGGACCACCAGUGGCGAAGGCUGUACACUAGAACACGUCUGACGGUCAGGGACGAAAGCUGGGGUAGCGAACCGGAUUAGAUACCCGGGUAGUCCCAGCUGUAAACGAUGCAUGCUAGGUGUUGGGUUGGCCACGAGCCACCCCCAGUGCCGCAGGGAAGCCGUUAAGCAUGCCGCCUGGGAAGUACGAUCGCAAGAUUGAAACUUAAAGGAAUUGGCGGGGGAGCACCACCAGGCGUGAAGCCUGCGGUUU
rnacentral:rRNA from 1 species